rnacentral:snRNA from 1 species
CAGGGGAGAGCGCGAACGCAGUCCCCCACUACCACAAAUUAUGCAGUCGAGUUUCCCGCAUUUGGGGAAAUCGCAGGGGUCAGCACAUCCGGAGUGCAAUGGAUAAGCCUCGCCCUGGGAAAACCACCUUCAUGAUCAUGGUAUCUCCCCUGCCAGGUAAGUAU